AACGUAGGAGACAAACGUUAUCCGGAGUUACUGGGCGUAAAGGGCGUGUAGGUGGUAGUGUAAGUCUGGCGUGAAAUUUUUCGGCUUAACCGGGAAAGGUCGUCGGAUACUGCACAACUAGAGGACGGUAGAGGCGUGUGGAAUUCCGGGUGUAGUGGUGAAAUGCGUAGAUAUCGGAAGGAACACCAGUGGCGAAGGCGGUUCUCUGGGCAUUACCUGACGCUGAGGAGCGAAAGUGUGGGGAGCGAACAGG
rnacentral:rRNA from 1 species